CCGACGGUGAGAGGUGAAAGCUGGGGGAGCAAACCGGAUUAGAUACCCGGGUAGUCCCAGCUGUAAACUAUGCAAACUCAGUGAUGCAUUGGCUUGUGGCCAAUGCAGUGCUGCAGGGAAGCCGUUAAGUUUGCCGCCUGGGAAGUACGUACGCAAGUAUGAAACUUAAAGGAAUUGGCGGGGGAGCACCACAAGGGGUGAAGCCUGCGGUUCAAUUGGAGUCAACGCCAGAAAUCUUACCCGGAGAGACAGCAGAAUGAAGGUCAAGCUGAAGACUUUACCAGACAAGCUGAGAGGUGGUGCAUGGCCGUCGCCAGCUCGUGCCGUGAGAUGUCCUGUUAAGUCAGGUAACGAGCGAGAUCCCUGCCUCUAGUUGCCACCAUUACUCUCAGGAGUAGUGGGGCGAAUUAGCGGGACCGCCGCAGUUAAUGCGGAGGAAGGAAGGGGCCACGGCAGGUCAGUAUGCCCCGAAACUCUGGGGCCACACGCGGGCUGCAAUGGUAACNANNAUUGGUUUCGAAUCCGAAAGGAUGAGGUAAUCCUCAAACGUUACCACAGUUAUGAUUGAGGGCUGCAACUCGCCCUCAUGAAUAUGGAAUCCCUAGUAACCGCGUGUCAUUAUCGCGCAGUGAAUACGUCCCUGCUCCUUGCACUCACCGCCCGU
rnacentral:rRNA from 1 species